UUUUUUUUGUUUUUUUUUUUUUGUUGAUACGAUAGAUUCUUACACUAGGGGGAGGGGAGGAUCUGAAGAGGUCAAAGGGUAAUUCGGAGGGAACUGAACCAUCACCGGAUCAGACGGGUGCACUACAUACCCAUCUGAAUUUUUUAAAUAGAACCACUUUUUUAAUGUUGCGAAUUGAUAGGAGGCAAGAUUUGCUACCAAACUUUAAUACAUUGGUGGUGACCAUCAGCUCAAAGACUGGUGGUUUGGUUAGGUGUACUUGAUAAAGCACUCUUUCAACAACCAAAGCAUUAAAUGUCAAAGCCAUAUCUCUCUCAACAUCUAUCCGAACGACAGAAAUUAUCCUAAAGGGACACAAAUCUACAAAAAUCUUCAUCAAUGAUUGGACUUGUAUGAUUGCCCCACAGGUAGUUCGAUUGGUUCCGUAGUUACCAGUAGGUCCCGUGAUCGACUCCCGUAGGAACACAAAUCUACAAAAAUCUUUAUCAAUUUAUGGAGCAAAAUCUACAACAUGACGAUAAAGCCAUAUCCAACUACUUCUAUGUAGCCAGUCCAUCAAUCCUUUUGUCUAUCCAGUAUUCGGUUGCCUUGAAUUCUUUAGAGAUAUGUAAACCUGGUUCUUUAAUCUUUCUACUACAAAUAGAACUGGCAUGAAUAUCUGACGGAUAAAUGUUGAUUAAAGAUAUUGGUGGUUAUGACUACACUUUUUUUUUUGGGUCCAAACUUAAUUGUUAGAUUACCAAAUAUACAAUUAGUAAAUCUUAUAUACGUUAAUAUUGUAUAGAUUAUCAUGAGUUGAUGCAUAAUACAUGAGUAAAAUUUGGAAUUCAAAUUAAAAUUCAAAUUAGUUUUCAUGCAUCUAAUUUCAAUCUUGAGAGACGUUGCUCUCCUCUCAAAUUUCAUAGUCGUACCUUUAUAUUCUACUUUAUACGUCAGUAAGCUAUAUCUCUUUGCUUGUCACUUCACCGCAUAACACAAUCAUUAAUAGAUCUUGCCCAGUCAACACCAAUAAAAGGCUUUUAUCUUCAAAUAUCCAUAAUUUGAACAUUUGUUUGUCUAACCAUGAACACUCGUUAAAAUAUAUUUCAAGUGUUAAAUUUUUAAAAAUACAAAAUUAAUUAAGAAAAAUAUAUAAAUGCAAGGGGAUUAAUUAUGGAAAGUAUAUAAAUGUAAGGAAAGAUAAUAAUUGUUAGUGUGUUUAUAUACAUAAUAAAUUAAAUGAAAUGUAGGCUUCGAAUCCUCUGUCUCCAAAGUAGUCGUUGUCCCCUCUGUCCCUUAUUUGUACAACUGCCACGUGUUUCUAACCUUUUUUUAACCCAAACUCAAAUAAACCGAUAAUAAUCGGUUUACAAGUUUACUCAAAAUCAAUUAAAACAAAUAACCCAAAACUUUUUUUAUUUUCUUUUUAACAAAAAAGAGUCUUGUUGAUCAUAAACAUAGAAAUCAACUAAAACUCUUCUUUAUUUUUUACCCCAAAUCAUCUUUUUCUUAAACCCUAACAAGUACUUUGAUUCACUCAUUAUAUCUUUAAUCUUGCAACAAAAACAGUCAAAGGAUCAAGUAGCAAGAUUCAAUUUCAUCUUUAUCCAGGUAAAACAAAUCAAUAGAUCAUGUAUGAUCAACAAGACUCUUUUUUGUUAAAAAGAAAAUAAAAAAAAGUUUUGAGUUAUCUGUUUUAAUUGAUUUUGAGUAAACUUGUAAACCGAUUAUUAUCGGUUUAUUUGAGUUUGAAUUAACAAAAGGUUAGAGCAGUUGUACAAAUAAGGGACAGAGGGACAGAGACUAAUUUGGGGACAGAGAAUUCGAAGACCUUGAGGUAUCCUAAAGUAGGAUAUAGUUAGAGACUACUUCCAAAACAGAAAAAAUGAACAACCACUUUUGUAAUACCAUAGAUACAUACUAUUUUAAGGAUUAAUUUCAAAAAAGCCCCUUGACAAAUGCCUUUUCAUCAUAUCACGCCCUGAAUGUAUAAUUGAACCAAUUUACUCCCUGUGCUACUAUAAUUUUUUAAAUUAAAUACAAUUGUGUUUCACAGCCCAAUUUCUAGAUGCAUCGGUCUUGUGCAGCACACAUGGAUUUAUGAAUUCACCAAAUUAUUCCCACAAGUUCUUAAUUACCAAAAUUUUUUAGUUACUUACUCAUAAUAAAAAUUCUUUUGAAACAUUCUAGUUUUUCCCUAUAUCUCCAGAAAAAAAAAUUUGGUGCAACUACCGGUUAUUAUCAUAUUUGAAGUUUGUAAUAAUAUACAUUAGCUUAUGGCUUCUAAUUUUGUAUCUUUUGUUACAAUUGAAAAUCGUAUUAAAGAAAUGUGCUUGUUAUGUACAUUACGUUUUAUUACUUUAAAAGUUUUUAUAAAACUGUAGUUAUCCAAAGUCAUCUUGACUUAUUUUAUUAGUUAUAAAUAGCAUGUGGAGUGUAAUUUAGUCAGUUCACAAACCAUGCGUGCCACACAUGAUAGUUCCAAGCAAGCAAAUCUCGCUCAAAAAAAAAAAAAAAGAUAAUAUCAAAAACCUCCCUUAAGGUUUCUCCUAAUAUUACUUGACAUCCCUAAAGUUUUAUAAAUAUUACUUACCUCUCCUAGUAAUUGUAAAAGACUUUGUUAACCCUCACUUGAUACAUAAUUUGCAUAUCAAAUAAAUGGAACUCAAAAAAUUAAGAAAAGAAAUAAAAGUCACUUUCUUCACUUUUUCCUUUUUCAAUAUUCUCUCUUACUCAUUUUUCCUGGAUGACUAUGCAAUUUUUUAUUUGUAAAUUAUAGUAAAUUAAAUUUUCUUUAUCUUUUACUUUUUCUGAUUGUGAUAAAAUAGGAUAUGAUCUCUUUAUUUAUUUUGAGUUGAUUUUCAUAAUGAUCAAUACAAUUUAAAGGUUUGGACACAGACUAAGAAGUUGGGAGCACAUAGAGUUAAAUUGCUGCUACUGUAUUUCUUUGCAAAUAUCUUUUUUGUUUUUCAAAUUUAUAUUUUUAUGGACUAUAACAGUGUGACGUGGUAGUACUAUUAGAAAUUGUUUUUUAAUUGAUGGUUUUUGGGAGUAAACAAAGUGAUUUACGAGUAUGUUUAUUUAGUGAGCAAGUGUAGUUUAGGGCUUUUCAAAAUUUUGUUACAUAAAUAACAAAAGGAAGGGAGGAAAGUGAUAUUUUUAAAACCUUAGGAUUGCUAGGUGAUAUUUAGAAACAUGAGGGAAUGUUUCUAAUAUUAUCCCAAAAAAAUGCAAGUCCAGUUGUCUACUACAUAAAUUUGCCUGUAGUUUUGGUAUGCCUUGUUUAACCAGAAUCUUUGUCAAUGGGAUUGCAUGGUCUUAACAUGUUUAUUACAACAAAUAGCUAUCAUAGGUCUAAUUGAGGUGGGUGAAUGCACCAUAGAAACCCGCCUAAUCUCUUCCCUUUUGGACAUGCAUACAUGCUUGUCUUAAAGUAGGAAAUGCAUUUCUGCCAACACUUGAUAUUUAGCCCAAAUUAACUGCUCUGACACCAACAUUAGCAGUAGUUACAAAAUAACAGUUAUGUUGAAGCUGAACAAGAUACAAGAUGAUAUAGGUCUAAGGGAGGCCGGAAAGAACAAGAUUAACAUCACAUCGCUUUAUCGCCAUUAUUAUGUCAAAGUGUAACUGACUAUAGUCCUGCUCAUCACUGUAAACUAAAACUUAUGUGUACACAUUCUACAAAACACAAGCCCCCUAGAACAGAACCAGGCACAUGUAUCAGACAUCAAAUUAGUUCAAAAUGAAUGUAGCCCAGGAAGGGGACGGCGAAGUCGAUGCAACAACAAACAAUGUCUUC
rnacentral:lncRNA from 1 species